ACUCAGGAGUGCUAGGGUUCCGGCCUUGCCAGUGAUGGCAACGGUGUCUGGUCCGAGAGCGCUCCGGCCCUGUCGAAUUGACGCGGCUCCACGGAGGGAUAAAAGCCCGGGAGAA
rnacentral:sRNA from 2 species